UACGAAGGGGGCUAGCGUUGCUCGGAAUCACUGGGCGUUAAGGGCGCGUAGGCGGACUCUUAAGUCGGGGGUGAAAGCCCAGGGCUCAACCCUGGAAUUGCCUUCGAUACUGAGAGUCUUGAGUUCGGAAGAGGUUGGUGGAACUGCGAGUGUAGAGGUGAAAUUCGUAGAUAUUCGCAAGAACACCAGUGGCGAAGGCGGCCAACUGGUCCGAUACUGACGCUGAGGCGCGAAAGCGUGGGGAGCAAACAGG
rnacentral:rRNA from 1 species